rnacentral:Y_RNA from 1 species
GGCUGGUCUGAAGGUAGUGAGUUAUCUCGAUUGAUUGUUCAUAGUCAGUUACAGACUGAACUCCUGUUCUAUGCUUUCCCUCCUUCUCACUACUGCACUUGACUAGUGCAAA